GGGCACCUGCUCUGGGAGGAGCCAAGGUCACACUCCAACCCCCAGUUCCCUGUGCGGCACAGCAGGGCCUUGUUGUUAAACCGUGAUUUGUCUGGAGGAGAAGAGGCAGUGUGCUGCAGGGGAACAGGUGCAGGUGUGGGGCGCGGAGGCUGCGCGCUCCCUGUCCAGACACGAAUAGUCCUACCUCAAGUCUGAUGCCAGGAGAGGGGGCUGCUGAACUCACCAGCCAAGCCACCCAUAGACAUGAACCUGAAGGGGACUCCUAAGGCAGAAAAAAGGGGACCAGAAACAUGAACUGGAGAAGCCCGGAGAGCCACAGAGCUGAGCAGAGAGCCGGGCAGAGUUCUGUUCGUCCAGAAAACAAAAACGAAGAAACUGGA
rnacentral:lncRNA from 9 species